GACGAACGCUGGCGGCGUGCUUAACACAUGCAAGUCGAACGGAAAGGCCCUGCUUUUGUGGGGUGCUCGAGUGGCGAACGGGUGAGUAACACGUGAGUAACCUGCCCUUGACUUUGGGAUAACUUCAGGAAACUGGGGCUAAUACCGGAUAGGAGCUCCUGCUGCAUGGUGGGGGUUGGAAAGUUUCGGCGGUUGGGGAUGGACUCGCGGCUUAUCAGCUUGUUGGUGGGGUAGUGGCUUACCAAGGCUUUGACGGGUAGCCGGCCUGCGAGGGUGACCGGCCACAUUGGGACUGCGAUACGGCCCAGACUACUACGGGAGGCAGCAGUGGGGAAUAUUGCACAAUGGGCGGAAGCCUGAUGCAGCAACGCCGCGUGCGGGAUGACGGCCUUCGGGUUGUAAACCGCUUUCGCCUGUGACGAAGCGUGAGUGACGGUAAUGGGUAAAGAAGCACCGGCUAACUACGUG
rnacentral:rRNA from 1 species